rnacentral:tRNA from 1 species
AGCUCAGUCGGUUAGAGCAUCUGACUGUUAAUCAGAGGGUCCUUGGUUCAAGUCCAAGA